rnacentral:rRNA from 1 species
UAGCAAGUCGACCAAAGGCGAAAGCAGUCAUCAAGGGCAUACCCGUUGAUCAAGAGCGAAAGUUAAGGGUUCGAAGACGAUUUGACGGAAAAUCUGGUCGUUAAGAGCAGCGCUCCCUCACCCUAUAAAAGAGGGGCAAAGGCGUCUUGCUAGUCUAGGAGUGCGGUUCUCGAUCUUGGGUAGCUACCAGGUCAUGAGCCCACUGUUGCGCUUUGGGGUAGCCCCCAACGGUGCUUCGGUCUCUUAGGCAACACUAUCAAAUUGCGGGAACACCCUAAAGCUAGCACUACUACCUACGCGCCUAUAAGGCGGAAAAAUCACGGGCGUUAAAACCUCUUUGAGCGGGGGAGUCGCGUGCGUAUGGAACCCGGGGUAAUGACCUAGGGUAUAGUAAAAACGUGUUAGAUUGGUGCAGGAUUAAGGCGAAAGCUUGUCUUGCCAUACCAAAUGGGCAAUCCGCAGCCAAGCUCGUUAAGGCUCUUGCUAGCUUGCUCUGUUAGGGCAACUACCUGUUGGCUACGAGUGCAGUUCACAGACUAAAUGUUAGUGGGUGAUUAAGGGCUUACCCCCUGAAAGCUUAAGAUAUAGUCGAAUCCCUGCCGAAAGGUGGGGCGUAAGCAGUGCAGAUACCGUCGUAGUCUUAACUAUAAAUGAUGCAAACCAGGGAUAGGACACUGUCCAUCUCGACUCCUCCUGAACCUUCGAGAAAUUACAGUCUUUGGGUUCUGGGGGGAGUAUGGUCGCAAGGCUGAAACUUGGGCGGAAGUUUUGGGUUUCAAAAGUCGGCUAAAAGUGUCCGGCUAGUCCGGUUCCUGAAAACAGCGGUCGCUCCUACCGAUUGG